AUCAGUGCUAAUUGUCGAUACUCGAAGGAGAGGUUGUCCGUGUUGUCUUCUCUUUAUUUAUGAUGAAACAUACACGGGAAACCUCUUCUUUAGUAUCAAAUCCCACCCUGGAGGCA
rnacentral:pre_miRNA from 8 species